rnacentral:rRNA from 1 species
GCGGAAGGUCAUUACUAGAGCAAAGGAUAGACAGCGCCCGCGGAGCUCGCUCCCGGGGCCACCCUACUCCGGUAGGGUUUAGAGUCGUCGGGCCUCUCGGAGAAGCUCGGUCCUGAACUCCACCCUUGAAUAAACUACCUUUGUUGCUUUGGCGGGCCGCCUCGUGCCAGCGGCUUCGGCUGUUGAGUGCCCGCCAGAGGACCACAACUCUUGUUUUUAGUGAUGUCUGAGUACUAUAUAAUAGUUAAAACUUUCAACAACGGAUCUCUUGGUUCUGGCAUCGAUGAAGAACGCAGCGAAAUGCGAUAAGUAAUGUGAAUUGCAGAAUUCAGUGAAUCAUCGAAUCUUUGAACGCACAUUGCGCCCUCUGGUAUUCCGGGGGGCAUGCCUGUUCGAGCGUCAUUAUAACCACUCAAGCUCUCGCUUGGUAUUGGGGUUCGCGGUUUCGCGGCUCCUAAAAUCAGUGGCGGUGCCUAUCGGCUCUACGCGUAGUAAUACUCCUCGCGAUUGAGUCCGGUAGGUCUACUUGCCAGCAACCCCUAAUUUUUUAAGGUUGACCUCGGAUCAGGUAGGGAUACCCGCUGAACUUAAGCAUAUCAAUAAGCGGAGGAAAAGAAACCAACAGGGAUUACCUCAGUAACGGCGAGUGAAGCGGUAACAGCUCAAAUUUGAAAGCUGGCUCUUUUAGGGUCCGCGUUGUAAUUUGUAGAAGAUGCUUCGGGUGUGGCCCCGGUCUAAGUUCCU